rnacentral:lncRNA from 1 species
UUUUUUUUUUUUUUGUCUAGUAGCCUAGUGGCUAGACUCAUAUUUUAAAUGCGGAGAAGUGUAGAAUCCUGGAUUUGAACCUAGACCACUGCAUAUCAGCAUCCUUGUAGCUACCAACUUAGCUACGGGGCAUGUUGUUUUUGUUUACCAACUGAGUUACUUGUUUAUUGUAGCUACCGGCUGAGUUACAGGAUAUGUGGUAAAUAAUUUGACAUUUGUCAUCAUGAAAGUAAUAUUUGUAUUGUAUUUUAGUUUAUUCUCUGUUAUUUUGUGUGUAUAUCUAUUAUUAGAUCCAUUUCGUGUAAUAGAAAGAUUCAAUAAAUUUUAAACAUGUAAUUCAAAUCUUUGUUUCUUGAUGGAGUUUUGUUCAAUGAAAGCAUUUUGUUUUAUAAUUAUGGUUCAAUGAUAUCUCAUUGUUUAAAAAAGACUAAAUUGAUACAUAAUAUAUUACUUGUAAAUGGAAUGGGUGGAGUAUUUAAACCCCAACUUGAAUAAUGAUAACUCUACUUGUAAAACAA